CAGCCGCCGCGGGAAUACAGAGGGUGCGAGCGUUAAUCGGAUUUACUGGGCGUAAAGCGUGCGUAGGCGGCUUUUUAAGUCGGAUGUGAAAUCCCUGAGCUUAACUUAGGAAUUGCAUUCGAUACUGGGAAGCUAGAGUAUGGGAGAGGAUGGUAGAAUUCCAGGUGUAGCGGUGAAAUGCGUAGAGAUCUGGAGGAAUACCGAUGGCGAAGGCAGCCAUCUGGCCUAAUACUGACGCUGAGGUACGAAAGCAUGGGGAGCAAACAGGAUUAGAUACCCGUGUAGUCCCUGUCCCUUAUAA
rnacentral:rRNA from 1 species